AUUCCAGCUCCAAUAGCGUAUAUUUAAGUUGUUGCAGUUAAAAAGCUCGUAGUUGGAUUUUGGUUAAGAGGGCGCGGUCGGCCGUUUGGUCUGUACUGCGUUGUCUUGACUUCCUGAUGAGGACAUGCUCUUGGUUAACGCUGAGACAUGGAGUCAUCGUGGUUACUUUGAAAAAAUUAGAGUGUUCAAAGCGGGCUUACGCUUGAAUAUAUUAGCAUGGAAUAACACUAUAGGACUCCUGUCCUAUCUCGUUGGUCUCGGGAUGGGAGUAAUGAUUAAGAGGAACAGUUGGGGGCAUUCGUAUUUCAUUGUCAGAGGUGAAAUUCUUGGAUUAGUUAAAGACUAACGUAUGCGAAAGCAUUUGCCAAGGAUGUUUUCAUUA
rnacentral:rRNA from 1 species